rnacentral:lncRNA from 1 species
GGUCCCUCCUUAUCCAGCCUGGUACCUGAAGACAAAGGCCAUAUAACCUUGGGAGUUCUAGGGCCCCGCCCACUGCCGGUCCCUCUCCACGCUACUACAGCUGAUGCUUUCUGGAAAUGACCACCUCGUGGCAGGAGGCCAACCAGCACAAAAAUAGAGUAUUAAACCACCAAAGCUAAGGAUCCUCAUGGAGUCCACUGCACUCCCCGCUCCCCCCGCUAACUCCACCAGAACAGGCGCUGGAAUCCACGCCUGACAGAUCCACAGAUGGUUCACAUCACAGGACUCUGUGUGGACAACCCUCAGUACCAGCCUGGAGCCGAGUAGACUCGCUGGGUGGCUAGACCCAGAGGAGAAACAGCAAUCACUGCAGUUCGUCUCACAGGAAGCCACAUCCAUAGGAAAAGGGGGAGAGUACUACAUCAAGUGAACACCCCUUGGGACAAAGGAAUCUGAACAACAGUCUUCAGACCUAGACAUUCCUUCUGACAGAGACUACUCAAAUGAGAAGGAACCAGAAAACCAACCCUGGUAAUAUGACAAAACAGGGCUCUUUAACACCCCCCCAAAAAUCACACCAGCUCACCAGCAAUGGAUCCAAACUAAAAAGAAAUCCUGAUUUUCCUGAAAAAGAAUUCAGGAGGUUAGUUAUUAAGCUAACCAGAGAGGGACCGGAGAAUGAUGAAGCCCAAUGCAAGGAAAUCCAAAAAAAUGAUACAAGAAGUGAAGAGAAAAACAUUCAUGGAAAUAGAUAGCUUAAAGAAAAAAACAAUAAAAAAUUCAGGAAACUUUGGACGCACUUUUAGAAAUGCAAAAUGCUCUGGAAAGAUGGUAUACAUAAACCACUUAAUGCCCCGCACACGGGAACUAACUUUCUCAAGCUACUAGGCU